rnacentral:tRNA from 5 species
GGGACUGUAGCUCAGCGGUUAGAGCGGCCGACUCAUAAUCGGUUGGUCGUAGGUUCGAAUCCUACCAGUCCCA